UGACCAAUUUCUCGUAAUUUGCAGGUUCCUGGCAGUGCUUGCUGCGGUCCAGUAUGCGGUGGCUGUCACGGAACCUUCCCUAGAUGAGAUUAUUAACGAGAUCUUCGGGAUAUCAGAAGACGAAGAUGACAGCCAAGUGGGGCUCCCGGGCUGCAACGACCUUGAGGGCUCCGGCCGCGGCUGCCAGGAGUGCUAUCUCUGUAACCACACCCUCAUACAGGACAGCAGGAUUAAAGGAGGGCACGUGGAACUACAAUUAAAAGAUUCAUCAUGCGCCACCACCCAGAUAUGCUGCGUCCAACAACAAGACCUCGUUAAUUACAGGCU